GGUUAAGCGACUAAGCGUACACGGUGGAUGCCCUGGCAGUCAGAGGCGAUGAAGGGCGUGCUAAUCUGCGAUAAGCGCCGGUAAGGUGAUAUGAACCGUUAUAACCGGCGAUACCCGAAUGGGGAAACCCAGUGUGAUUCGUCACACUAUCAUUAACUGAAUCCAUAGGUUAAUGAGGCGAACCGGGGGAACUGAAACAUCUAAGUACCCCGAGGAAAAGAAAUCAACCGAGAUUCCCCCAGUAGCGGCGAGCGAACGGGGAGGAGCCCAGAGCCUGAAUCAGCAUGUGUGUUAGUGGAAGCGUCUGGAAAGGCGCGCGAUACAGGGUGACAGCCCCGUACACAAAAGCGCAUGUGCUGUGAGCUCGAUGAGUAGGGCGGGACACGUGGUAUCCUGUCUGAAUAUGGGGGGACCAUCCUCCAAGGCUAAAUACUCCUGACUGACCGAUAGUGAACCAGUACCGUGAGGGAAAGGCGAAAAGAACCCCGGCGAGGGGAGUGAAAAAGAACCUGAAACCGUGUACGUACAAGCAGUGGGAGCCCCACCACUAAGCCAGUGGUGAACUCCACAUCCGCAUCCUUUGCUGAGGAUACGGUUAACGGAGCGAAAGCGACGUUCAACCGCAAAACAAGCAGAGGGGGCUUAGUGGUGGGGUGACUGCGUACCUUUUGUAUAAUGGGUCAGCGACUUAUAUUCUGUAGCAAGGUUAACCGAAUAGGGGAGCCGGAGGGAAACCGAGUCUUAAUUGGGCGUUAAGUUGCAGGGUAUAGACCCGAAACCCGGUGAUCUAGCCAUGGGCAGGUUGAAGGUUGGGUAACACUAACUGGAGGACCGAACCGACUAAUGUUGAAAAAUUAGCGGAUGACCUGUGGCUGGGGGUGAAAGGCCAAUCAAACCGGGAGAUAGCUGGUUCUCCCCGAAAGCUAUUUAGGUAGCGCCUCGUGAAUUCAUCUCCGGGGGUAGAGCACUGUUUCGGCUAGGGGGCCAUCCCGGCUUACCAACCCGAUGCAAACUGCGAAUACCGGAGAAUGUUAUCACGGGAGACACACGGCGGGUGCUAACGUCCGUCGUGAAGAGGGAAACAACCCAGACCGCCAGCUAAGGUCCCAAAGUCAUGGUUAAGUGGGAAACGAUGUGGGAAGGCCCAGACAGCCAGGAUGUUGGCUUAGAAGCAGCCAUCAUUUAAAGAAAGCGUAAUAGCUCACUGGUCGAGUCGGCCUGCGCGGAAGAUGUAACGGGGCUAAACCAUGCACCGAAGCUGCGGCAGCGAACGUAUCACCCAAGACAACUUUACGGAGUUGACGAUUGACGGAGCGAAGCGACGUCAAAGCGUUCAUUAAAGUCGAGUUGGCUUAGGGAUACGUUCGUUGGGUAGGGGAGCGUUCUGUAAGCCUGUGAAGGUGUGUCGUGAGGCAUGCUGGAGGUAUCAGAAGUGCGAAUGCUGACAUAAGUAACGAUAAAGCGGGUGAAAAGCCCGCUCGCCGGAAGACCAAGGGUUCCUGUCCAACGUUAAUCGGGGCAGGGUGAGUCGACCCCUAAGGCGAGGCCGAAAGGCGUAGUCGAUGGGAAACGGGUUAAUAUUCCCGUACUUGGUGUUACUGCGAAGGGGGGACGGAGAAGGCUAUGUUGGCCGGGCGACGGUUGUCCCGGUUUAAGCGUGUAGGUGUGUGUUCCAGGUAAAUCCGGUUCACUUUAACACUGAGGCGUGACGACGAGGCACUACGGUGCUGAAGCAACAAAUGCCCUGCUUCCAGGAAAAGCCUCUAAGCAUCAGGUAACAUCAAAUCGUACCCCAAACCGACACAGGUGGUCAGGUAGAGAAUACCAAGGCGCUUGAGAGAACUCGGGUGAAGGAACUAGGCAAAAUGGUGCCGUAACUUCGGGAGAAGGCACGCUGACACGUAGGUGAAGUGAUUUACUCAUGGAGCUGAAGUCAGUCGAAGAUACCAGCUGGCUGCAACUGUUUAUUAAAAACACAGCACUGUGCAAACACGAAAGUGGACGUAUACGGUGUGACGCCUGCCCGGUGCCGGAAGGUUAAUUGAUGGGGUCAGCGCAAGCGAAGCUCCUGAUCGAAGCCCCGGUAAACGGCGGCCGUAACUAUAACGGUCCUAAGGUAGCGAAAUUCCUUGUCGGGUAAGUUCCGACCUGCACGAAUGGCGUAAUGAUGGCCAGGCUGUCUCCACCCGAGACUCAGUGAAAUUGAACUCGCUGUGAAGAUGCAGUGUACCCGCGGCAAGACGGAAAGACCCCGUGAACCUUUACUAUAGCUUGACACUGAACAUUGAGCCUUGAUGUGUAGGAUAGGUGGGAGGCUUUGAAGUGUGGACGCCAGUCUGCAUGGAGCCGACCUUGAAAUACCACCCUUUAAUGUUUGAUGUUCUAACGUGGACCCGUUACCCGGGUUGCGGACAGUGUCUGGUGGGUAGUUUGACUGGGGCGGUCUCCUCCUAAAGAGUAACGGAGGAGCACGAAGGUUGGCUAAUCCUGGUCGGACAUCAGGAGGUUAGUGCAAUGGCAUAAGCCAGCUUGACUGCGAGCGUGACGGCGCGAGCAGGUGCGAAAGCAGGUCAUAGUGAUCCGGUGGUUCUGAAUGGAAGGGCCAUCGCUCAACGGAUAAAAGGUACUCCGGGGAUAACAGGCUGAUACCGCCCAAGAGUUCAUAUCGACGGCGGUGUUUGGCACCUCGAUGUCGGCUCAUCACAUCCUGGGGCUGAAGUAGGUCCCAAGGGUAUGGCUGUUCGCCAUUUAAAGUGGUACGCGAGCUGGGUUUAGAACGUCGUGAGACAGUUCGGUCCCUAUCUGCCGUGGGCGCUGGAGAACUGAGGGGGCUGCUCCUAGUACGAGAGGACCGGAGUGGACGCAUCACUGGUGUUCGGGUUGUCAUGCCAAUGGCACUGCCCGGUAGCUAAAUGCGGAAGAGAUAAGUGCUGAAAGCAUCUAAGCACGAAACUUGCCCCGAGAUGAGUUCUCCCUGAGACUUAGAGUCUCCUGAAGGAACGUUGAAGACGACGACGUUGAUAGGCCGGGUGUGUAAGCGCAGCGAUGCGUUGAGCUAACCGGUACUAAUGAACCGUGAGGCUUAACCUU
rnacentral:rRNA from 1 species